rnacentral:misc_RNA from 1 species
AAGACUAUAGACCUGCGGAGUACCUGCGGAGGGAUCAUUAUUGAGCUGAAACUCUUUUGGCUGGAUUGCUGUUGUUGCUGGCCCCUUUGGGGGGGGGCAAUGUGUACACACAAACUCUGGUCAUUUUAUGUUUCUUCUUCUGUUCCACCUGUGCACUGCAUGUAGACACACACACUCUGUGUCUAUGAUAUGUUACACACACACACAAUCAUACAUAUGGGCAUAGUAUUGCAUGUAUAA